CAACAUUGACGCUGAGGCACGAAAGCGUGAAGAGCAAACAGGAUUAGAUACUUUGGUAGUCCACGCCCUAAACGAUGCGAACGCAGAUGUUGGGCACACUUAGGUGUUCAGUGUCGAAGCUAACGCGUUAAGUUCGCCAGUAUGGGGAGUACAUUCGCAAGAGAGAAACUCAAAGGAACAUCGGGGGAACAAACAAGCGGUGGAGUAUGUGGUUUACUUUAAUUGCAACGUGAAGAACGCACCCUUGUCUUGACAUGCACGGAACUUUCCAAAGAUGGAUUGGUGCAUUCGGGAACCGUGGUCACAGGUGCUGCAUUAUUAACCUCAGCUCGUGUUGUGAGACAUUGGGUUAAGUCAAGCAACGAGCGCUACCCUCGUCCUUAGCAGGCAGCAAUCAAUGGUGGGAACUUUAUGCAGUAUUCCGCUGACAAACCUGAGGAAGGUGUGGAGGACGUCAAUUCGUCACGGUCUGUAUGAUCAUCCUUACACACCAGCUACAAAUGUCGGCACAGAGGGUUGCAAUACCGCGAGGUGGAGCCAAUCCCAGAAAACUGAUCUCAGUCCGGAUCGCAGAAGGUCCUCCACUGCGUGAAGUAGGUAUUGUGCGUAAUCGCGGAUCAGCAUUGCCGCGGUGAAUACGUUCCCGGCCCUUUUACACAGCAUUCCUUCACACCAUGGGAGUGGCCGCCCCAGAAGCAAGCUCUCCUACCCUCGGGAGGGCGGUUCCCACGGUGUGAUUCAUGACAGGGGUGAAUUUGUAACAAGAUCGCAC
rnacentral:rRNA from 1 species